AUGGAAAGUCCAUCAGACUCAGCUGUGGUUUUACCUAGCACUCCUCAGACCUCUGUGAAUCCAUCAUCUCCCUAUACAAAUAGUUCACGAACACAACCUAUGAGUGCAACACUUAGAGAAAGAUUAAGGAAAGCAAGAUCUUCAUUUAGUUCCUGUUAUAAUGUGGUGAAACUUCUUAAAGUAGAGAAUGAAGAAAACGAUCAGACCUUUUCAGAGAAACCAGCAUCUUCCACAGAGGAAAACUGUUUGGAAUUUCAAGAAAGUUUUAAACACAUAGACAGUGAAUUUGAAGAAAAUAUAAAUUUGAAAAAUACUUUGAAGAAUCAAUGUCUGUGAAUCUCAGUCAUUUGACUCUGGGUCAUGCAGUGCUCUCCAAAAUGAGUUUGUGAAUGAGAAUCUUUCUAAACAAAGAUUAAACGAUGAAAAAGCCAAAUUGGUGAAGCAGGUUCAGGAGAAAGAAGACCUUCUUUGGAGGCUAAAACUCAUCAAACUGUAUGAUCAAAGAAUCUGUCUCCAUUACAGUUGUUAAUAAAGAAGUGGAGGAGCUGUAGCCAGCUGUUGCUUUAUGAGUUGCAGUCAGCUGUGUCUGAAGAGAACAAGAAACUAAGCCUUACUCAAUUGAUAGACUACUAUGGGUUAGAAGAUAAAUUGCUACACUAUAACAGAAGUGAAGAAGAAUUCAUAGAUG
rnacentral:lncRNA from 1 species